GGAGAUUUAAAACACCAACUGCGCUCGGAGAAACCCUUGGCAAGAUUUUUUCGGACAGGGGUUCGAUUCCCCUCAUCUCCACCA
rnacentral:tRNA from 1 species